rnacentral:sRNA from 1 species
UGUAAUCACUAACCUACAUUUUAGGUAAAUAUAGGCUAGUAUUCUAGAGCUCUAGGAGUAAUGUGUGUGUAAGAGUAAAAACAAUGUAAGACUGUCAAGAGAAACCAAAUCAAAAUGACAGUCAUACUAGUCAUAGGUCUAGAUCUAUUUCAUAUGGAAUCUAGCAUUUAGAAGCAUGGAUAGUAGUCUGAGCAGUACCAAACUACAUUACUUCAAUAUUGAAUGCGAAGGUUGGGGUUGUUUCUGUUUCACCAAAUCAUGAAUUCUCUGGACAGUUUUUGCUAAAAAAAGUUCAGUAAACUCUUCUGUGAUGUCUCCAGAGCAUCUUUAAUUUUUUCUGUGAAUGGUCUUCUGGAAAGUGCAAAGUCUGCAAAAGAGCUCACAGCUCAGCAGCAAUAAAGCUGG